rnacentral:rRNA from 1 species
GACGAACGCUGGCGGCGUGCUUAACACAUGCAAGUCGAACGGAAAGGCCCUGCUUGCAGGGUGCUCGAGUGGCGAACGGGUGAGUAACACGUGGGUGAUCUGCCCCUUACUUUGGGAUAAGCCUGGGAAACUGGGUCUAAUACUGGAUAGGACCAUGCUGUAGGUGGUGUGGUGGAAAGAUUAGUUUCGGUAAGGGAUGAGCUCGCGGCCUAUCAGCUUGUUGGUGGGGUAAUGGCCUACCAAGGCGUCGACGGGUAGCCGGCCUGAGAGGGUGGACGGCCACAUUGGGACUGAGAUACGGCCCAGACUCCUACGGGAGGCAGCAGUGGGGAAUAUUGCACAAUGGGCGCAAGCCUGAUGCAGCGACGCCGCGUGGGGGAUGACGGCCUUCGGGUUGUAAACUCCUUUCAGCCAUGACGAAGCCCUUGUGGUGACGGUAGCGGUAGAAGAAGCACCGGCUAACUACAUG